rnacentral:misc_RNA from 1 species
CACAUAAACUUCAAAUUCAAAUUUCAAAUGUUGACAACAAAUGUCAAGUUUCCCGGUUCUUUGGAAAUGGUUUCCAGAAUAAAUUCCGAAAAUUGGCGGUUUAAGUCGCACAUCAUAAAUUUACGUAUCGUGUUAAUAUCUAACGUAGUUUCAAGCAGAACAUCAAUUCAACAAAGUUUUAAUCUUUAAAAGCGUUAGUCUAUAACCUCACAAAUUGUGUUUACAAACAAAACAUGACUGUUAAAACAAGCCCCAAAAAAGUGAAGAAAAAUCCUUUAAGACCUAAGAGUCAACCUCGAAAUUAUAAUGUAACUAGAUACUUUCAACCCGGAGAAACUAGCUUGGCUUGUCAUUCCAGUAUCAAUGCAGUAAUACCUUACGUAAAUGUAGAGAAUCAAAACUCAGCAACUCCAGUAAAAAACAUCAAAAUACAUAAAACAGUGUGUGGUACUGCUAAGAAAGUUCAAUCAGUUGCCAAGGAACCUUCCAAUAAUAACGUGUCCGCUUUUGAAAGAGCAAAAUCAUAUCAUUUUAAUAGAAUACAAGCUGAACAAAAAAAAGCUAAGCAUCGUGAUAUGCUUAAAAGCAGUUCAUCUUCUAGCAUUGAUGGGAAGAUCGAAAAGUUUACUAGGACAAAAUCAAAGUCUUUUCAUGAGACGAGUAAGAAGCAUUAUGAAACAAAACAGUUAUAUUUAAGAAGUGAAAAGGGAUCCACAUCUCAAGCAACUAGUAGCACUUUUAAAUCUACAACUGAUCCGGCACUUUUGCAUAGAGUCCUCAAGGUUAAAAACUUGAAACAAGAAAUUUUAGAAAAUAGAAGGGCAACUUCCAAUGUAAGAUAUCCAAGUAGAAAUUCAUCUUUUGGAGACAGUAGUGCUAAGAUCAGUGAUCUUACAAAGGAAAUUAGUCAGUCGAAAACUAAUAAUAUAGCCAAGAAGAAAAUUCUAAUCACAGAGCUUCAUUCUGAAAUUGCCCAAUAUAAGCAGUAUAAAAACUUUUUAGUGUACAACAGUACUGAAGAACCUUCAAAUUUAAAAAAUGAAGCUAUGGUCUCAAGCAAUAAUGAAUCAAGCAUAAAUCAUUCAUCAAGCAGCCAGAAAAGACCAUCAGGAGGAAAGAGAGUGUCAAUUUUAGUCAAGCCUGAGAAUAUUGAUAUAUCUCUUGACAGAGACUCUUCAUCUGCAGUCCUUUAUGUUAAAUCUAGACACAGCAGUAGAUCAAGAAGCCGAAGUGGAACAGAUCCUGCAGAUUCUGUUUCUGAAACAAGAUCAAAUUCGAAAGCAGAAACUCUUUCCGAUAGAUCAGGAAAAUCAAAGGAGCUAUCAGAUCCAGAAUCCGCGGAUGACGAAGUAAUCAGAUACAAAAUUAAAGAAGCCAAUCAGCUAAUAGAACGUGUACGUAAAGCUCUUAGUAAAAUAAAAGCAAUACAAAGUGGAGAUGAAUCAACAACGCAGAAGCCAGACAAGAAAAGAGAUUCUGGGUCAAGUUCUACAGAUAUUGAGGAGACUAUUAAGGGUUUGAAGUUACAAACCAAACAGUUAUUGCAAGAGGAUACAACAAUAAGACCAACUUUAACUAGAACAAAGUUGGCAAUUCAAAGAAGCACUGAUAUUUUGAAACAGAAAAGCAAUAUAUAUCCAAGUCUCGAUAGAAGCGCAACCGCUGUUAUGAUUUCAAAAGAAAAAGAAACAAUCAUGACUAAAGAAGAAAAAACUGUUGUUAAAUCUCCACGAGACAAGAAUACUGAGGCUAGCCAAAUUGUAACAAUUGUAUCGAAAUCAAAGAUACCGAGACCUGUGCAGCAGACGCAGACGGAGGAAUGUAGUAGAAGAGGAAUAAGAGACUGCUGCCAGGUUCCGGGCCUUGAUAUGGAGAGGCCGAUGACUAGGAGAAACGAAGCUGCAAUUUUAGAAGAUGAUCUAAUGGAACAGGUUGGUGUUGAUAAAUUUCGGACAGUACCUGAUACCAAUCAACUCGAGGUUUCCAGUAGUUUUGAAGAACUACAAGAGAAGCUAAAAACCAUUGCUGAAACUACUGAGAGUAACCGAAGUACUCCUAGACGAAGCGGGGAAAAAGUGCCGCAAGAACCACCAAUAAUUACAAUGGUCGAUAAUUGUAGCAAUUGUGUUCAACUAGUAAGCAACUGCAAUCAGCAAAUUCAAGUGAAACCUGACGCGAGAUGCAUGGGAGUAGAAUGUCACUGUCAAACGCACGAAAAAUCCAACCAAGGCAGAAUUUUACCAGCUCUAUGUGUCGCCAACAGAGUUGCUACAGACGUUGUCCCUCCAAGGAAAAUAAAUCUAAAGUAUCAGCAUAGCCCACCUCUAGAAAUAGAACCAACAAAGUUAACCUGUACCCGCUGUAAUACUGAAUUUUUCUUUUCCGAAGUAAUGCUCUCGCCGACAUUAAGAAAGAUGAUGUGCGAAAACUGUAAGAGCCAGUUAAAGGAAGAUUUCGUUGGUGGAAUUUCAAUUGAACCUCAAGUUGAUCAAAAGAUUCAAAACUUAAGCAUCAAAUUAUUACCACCUGUGAUUAUAAAACAACCAUUAAAAGUUACCAAAGUAUUGGACUUAUCAAUUAACUCCAAGGGAGAUGCCUUAAACCGGUUAAGAAACCGUACAAACGUUACUUAUGUGGAUGUCAUACAUGGCAAAGAACUUGGGUUUGAUACUUUUAAUCAUUUUCAAUCGGAGUUUGAUGGAGGGAAAACCAAAUCUGUAACCGAAAACGAGAAAGAUGAUCUUAUAUUAAAAAGUGAAGCUAUUUCUACUGUUACUGACAAAGAAGAUUUUAUAGAGCAAGUGACACCUACAGAUAGUAAAUUAAAGCCAGUAUUAUUUGAAAAUAAAGUAGAAGAGGUAGUUUCUGGGGAUACUCAUACGAACCAUGAAAUACCUCUUCAAACGGUUAUGAAAUAUAUACCUAAAGAUAGUAACUCUGAACAGGAUGAGGAUGAAGUAAUUUCAGUCAGUUUUACAAAUGCUGAAGCAAAACGAUCGAAUCAUUCCGCCCCAACUCGCACAUCAAGCAAGUCCGGUAAGCCUGAGGAUUGGAAGAACGAUGUUCGAUACACGUUGUUGGAUACAUUUAAUAAGCACCACAACAGCAAUAUUUUUGAUGUCUUAGAUAAAGAAAAAGAGGAAAUUUACAAUAUGCAACAAAAACCUAAUCUCACAGAAGCGGAACGAGAAGAAUUAAAAAAGAAACUACUUUGGUACCAAUCUUAUCAUAUAUACGACAAUCCUAACCUGCAUGAUCCAGGACGGAUGGACCAAAAAUCAUUGGAAAAAGUAUCCCAUGUGGAUUUGGAGUUUUAUAAAACUUUUAUAAAUCCAGAUCCAAUGAUGUCAGGAGAAAUAACCCCUGUUCGUGUACGAUCUAGAAGUGCAUCAAAAGGAUCGAAAAGUCGAUUUGGAUAUGAGUCCAAACAGGUUCAAGUUCAACCAUCUCUUCUUGAAGGACAAUUAAAAGACCAUGAUGCUCCACAGGUGCUGAUUGAAUUAAUUAGCGGGAGCGAAAAUGCCAUAAACAGAGAAAUUAUUAGCGAAGAUACCAUAACAAACAAAGAAAUUAAACAAUUUAACGCUGAAGAAAAUCCUCUGUUACGUGCUUCACACCCACCGCUAAACCGGUCAUCUAAUCCGGCAAUAGAUAGCUGCUCUCAGGUAACACUUUUGAACAUAAAAGAGAAUGAAGAUGGCGCACUUGUUUUUCAACAAACCCUAGAUCCCAGGGGGAACGAGUCCAAACCAAUAUUAGAGGCUCAAAAAGAUGAUAGAGGUUCUAGUACACCUUCGGAAAUCACCGUUACUAUAUCUUAUACUUUGUCUGAAGAAGAACACAAAUCAGAGAAUGGAUCAUUUAAUAAACCAAGAUCUGAAAGUCCUGAAAUAGAAAUAAACUCCACUCUGCUGGAUCGUGAUCAAUUAAAAAAAUGUAGUGUAGAGUUCCAAGACACUAACAUUAGUAGACAAAGACGUUAUGGAUAAGCUCCGUGAUAAACUAAGAUCUGUGGAUACCACAGCGUCCUUGCCAGGUUUUACAAUACAUAGUGACGGCCAUCGUGAAACUCUAGACAAUUUUCUUAAAGGACUCACAAAGAUUUCUUCUCAAGGCUACAAUUCGCCGAAAAGUGAAAAUACAGAUAAAACUAUAAAUUAUGUAUUUACCCAUAACGAAAAUAAUCUGGAAUCCCUUAGGAGUCAUUUGGAAUUGGCUGAAAAUG